CAGACUUAGCACCCAUGCCCUGUAAAGAAAAUACCCUUACAGUGCUUAAAGAGUUCAGCAAUAUCACUUUUCUGUGUAUUAGGUGGCAUAAUCCAUGAAUGCCAGAUUAAAUUUCUGUACUCUGUUGAGGGCAUCAUCACUGGUCACUGACUGGGUUAAUCAAUAUCUUUCCAGGAGGCUCCACGCAGCCUGCUGUAUAUUUACAGGUCACUGUGAAGCAGAGGGUCAUUGUGAUGUCUUUAUCUGAAUGUGGGCAGAUGUGAUGAACAUAUGCAUUUAUGUGUCCACCAUGUGAAGAAGAGCUAGAGAGCUGUGUUUGCUGUUCCCACCAAAGACGGUGGGAAAGCAGAAUAACCAGCAGUUACUGCCGAGUGACACUGUGGAUGGAAUGAGCUUUUGAAGAGGUUUUCGCACUGCCAGAAGAGGUGAGGAGCUGCUUCUGGGUGCGCUGGCCAGCCAUGAUCCCUUUUGAAGUAUCUUUGGUAGAAGGGCUUUGGCAGCUGCAAGCAACCAUGUAGUGGGGCAUGCAUGAUAAUCACACCUCUCUCCACCCAGCAAAGCAAGAGCCACAGUCAUAUUUGUGCAAAUUCCAGCAAACAGCAGCAAAAUAUCCAGGACUGCUCACCCCUGUUCAGGACAAGAACAGAGCUAUCCCCCCGACACACCUCAUACAACCAUCUAUUGAUCUGCAGCCUAGGCAGUAUUCGCAUUGCUCUAAAGGAGAGAUACUAACAUUUGGAAGCCCUCUGUGCAAACUCUUCCCAAACACUUGUCUCGUUUCCCUUGGGCUGGAAGUCAUUUUAGAUUUGCCAGCUGGGACUCAGCCCCUGGGCUGAUUCCAGCACCUGAGCCUAGGCUUGUGUCAGAAUGAGCUGGCUGCUCCCAUGGGAUAUUACGGCAUGCCCUGACGCAGGGGUGCUUGGAAAGGUGCUGCCGGACCUCUGGAAGGAGACAGAAAGUGGCAGUGUCAAAGCAAAGUGGUGGCAGAGCAAAGAUAUCCAGCUCCUUCAGAUGUUUAGUUCCUGAAUCCAGCCUGUCCCCUACAGGAACAGACCUGCUUCAAUGGGAUGGAUGCACUGAAUGCAGCGAUGGAAAAUAUAAGACGACACCAGGACUUCGUGAGUGUGAUGUCUGCCUCACAGUGACUGCCUGUUCUCCACAGCCAGCAAGUGGCAAUCGCAUUUUAAAGGAAGGAUGUCAGAAUGUCAAAGAGCAGCUUGGUUUUCUCACUUGUCAUCAUUAUUUGUUUCUGUCCUGGCCGAACCACCAGCAGCAGGUUAAGGAUGACACAAACGAGCAACAAAUCACGGGGUGGAGGACAGAGCAUGUGACAAUGCCCUGGCUGUGGUGCAAACAUUUGAGCUACGUUUCGAAAGCCUGGGCUUGUGUUCCACAGGGUUUACGAGUGAAAAAUACAAGUCUUUGAGGAUAACAAACAACAAGCUCUGUCUCAUUAGUGUCUACCCUUCAGAGAAGAGGCUGGAGCGGAUCCCAUCAAGCUGCGAUUUGGUUCAGUGCACCAGGGAAGGUUCCUAGAAGCAUUCCCCCAGCUUCUUCACACUGUGCACUGAGGGGAAAAAAACAACAUUUGGCAAUUUGUUGUCAAUAUUUGUAUAACUCCUGAUGCCACUAAAACUGCAUAUGCAGGCUUUAAACUAACAAAAACAAAGCCAUGGCCAAGCUGGAAAGCUGGAUUUGUUUCCAUGCACAAUUAGGUUUAUUUGUUUAGGUCUCAUUUUAUUUGCUUUCAGAUGACUCAGAUAGGAGUAUUGCAAUCCUUUCAAAGUGAAGUAGUGUUCUGUGUAUUUUGGGCAUUGGGCUUAGCCAAAUGUGGAAAGAAUUGGCUGCUCAAUAGUAUUUUCCUAUCCAGAGGUUUUUCAAACUUUUGAGAGGAACUGAAGGAAUGUCCCUUCCAUGCCAGGCUUUUUUUCCCUCCCCUUCACAGCGUCUCUCCACAUCAUUGUUAAAGAGCACAGGAAUUUUAAAACACUCCUCCGUUGUGCAACUGUUAGCAACUGCCCUUAUUAAUUGCUUUACCAUUGUGCUGCAUGCUUAAAUUCUCACUGGUGUCAUCCAUAACGUGCUGCUGUGAGCGCCUUUUAACCCGUUCCAAUACGAACAGACGCACGGUGCACGGCUCAGAAUCUCCCAGCCUGCUAGACCAGCUCUGGGCUUGCUGAAAAUGAUUUCCUGCAUACACGAAGGGAUAUUUACAUUUUGGCAAGUCGCCGAGUUUUCUGCUAGGAGUCAGUCACUCAGGGCAGAUUAUUUUCCAGUGGACAUACUUGCACGCUAUUGGUGUUAAGAGAAUUGUCUCAAGUCUCAGUACCGUGGUGUGGUGUGUGAUUUUUGUUUAAUUUACGCCCCCCCACCCAUCCCUGUAACAAAUGAAGGUAAAAAUGCAGGGCUUUUUUGCCUCUUCACCGCUGUGUUUUGGGGGAGGAUUUUUGCUUUUUUUUUUUUUUUAUUAUUAUUUUGCUUCUGGAAAUGCCUCCUCUGGUGAUGUUUUGGAAAAUGUAGACAAUAUGAAUAAAUCCGCAUUUAUUCCUAUUUAUAUGAAACAUAAAGGUUAAAGGAUUUCCUGCACUCACCAGAAGUAUGCAUCUGAUUUAUGGCUUUCCUUAAUGCUCUUCCCACUCACACUCGUAAAAGAAAUAUACUAACAAAGGCUAAUAGACGAUCUAUUUUAAAGUUUGCCCUGAUAAAACCAAACUGGAACUUUAUUCAGUGUUAAAUGUCAAUUCUAAAAAUUGGAAUGUUUUUCUAAUCAAGAACAAUAAACGUGGAAAGUGUCUCCGUGGAACAGAGCCGCAGCACAGCACGCUGCUGGCCCGGUGCUGCACACUUCAGGGUCAGAUGGAGUCGGCACGUCGUGUAGUCCUCCCUCUGCAACAGCUUGCUCUGUGAGACUGUUCUGACCCCAGGAGGGAUGGAACAACGCUUAGGAUAUGUGACUUGUUCUUUUGUUUUGCUUUUAAGAGGAUAGGAACCCCAAAACUUAACUAUGACAAAUUACCAAAUUGAGGAGGGUUGUAAACCUAUAUAUGGUGAAUAUGGUGAAGAAGGGAGAAAUAACAUAAAUUUCCAAGCCUGUCUUAAAUACUAGAAGAAAUAAUAAGGUGGGCAAAUAGAUUAGAAGGUGCCUAGAGAUCCGUUCCAGGCCUAUGAUUCUUUGCUUUCCUUCCUCUAGCUGUGGAGAACUGAGCCUGUCAAAAUGGAUGAAACCCAUUUAGUGACCUUACUUAACACAGUGUCACUUUUUAACACCUUCAGGGCAUUUCGACAUUGUGCCUGCAAAGUCCUCAGCUUUCACUCUCAUAAGUAGGCUGCAGCUCUCCUGCCCUCUCUCUGCGUGCACCGUUUUACAGCAAGUAAAGACAAGUCUAAUCCAGAAUCGAAUGAGACUAUGGGCUUCACUGGGGGUUGAGGGAGGAGUCUGGAUCAGGACCUGUCAAAGCUCAUAUUCU